GAUCUGAUUAUGGAUUUUCAGUCCCAUGUACCUUCCCAGCAUCAUAACUGUGGCCUGAGGAUUAGUCCCAGGUGAAAAUUUGAAGGUUGAUCCAUCAAUAACCCUAAUUCCAUCAACACCCAUAACCUUGUAAUCUUCAUCAACCACCUUCCCUACCUGGCACCCGCCAUGGUAGUGCCAUACAGUCACCACACUCUCAUUACAGUACUGCUCCAGCGUCAAACUACCCUGAUU
rnacentral:misc_RNA from 1 species